ensembl:lncRNA
AGGGGUAUGGGAUGGUUCUACUCGUCAGAGGGGUAUGGGAUGGUUCUACCGGUCAGAGGGGUAUGGGAUGGUUCUACAGGUCAGAGGGGUAUGGGAUGGUUCUACAGGUCAGAGGGGUAUGGGAUGGUUCUACAGGUCAGAGGGGUAUGGGAUGGUUCUACUGGUCAGAGGGGUAUGGGAUGAUUCUACAGGUCAGAGGGGUAUGGGAUGGUUCUACUGGUCAGAGGGGUAUGGGAUGGUUCUACAGGUCAGAGGGGUAUGGGAUGGUUCUACAGGUCAGAGGGGUAUGGGAUGGUUCUACAGGUCAUAGGGGUAUGGGAUUGUUCUACUGGUCAGAGG